rnacentral:ncRNA from 1 species
GCCCCGCCCGGGGGCGCCUCGUGCAAGCCGGGCUGCGGAUAAUUCGGCGAGUGCCGCAUCAUUGAAUAACCCCGAAAGCC